UGACCGCUGCCCUUGUAUCUAAACUGAAAGGUGAUCUGACCCACUGCCCUCGUCUCUAAACUGAAAGGUGAUCUGACCUGCUGCCCUCGUCUCUAAACUGAAAGGUGAUCUGACCUGCUGCCCUCGUCUCUAAACUGAAAGGUGAUCUGACCUGCUGCCCUCGUCUCUAAACUGAAAGGUGAUCUGACCCGCUGCCUCAUGGUGAAGCCAUUGUCCAGCUGACAGACUGCUAUAAUGUGUGGAUCAGCGUCUAUAUAUAUAUAUAUAUUCUGUCUGUUCUUAAUGCUGGGUCAGAACACUGAGGGAGGACAUAGGUCCCCUUUUCAGCCUGUCCAAUGGGCAUAGAGAACACAUACUGUACAUGCUAGAGAUGCCUCAUCCGCUAACGUGAUAUUGAGAGUGAGCUUACAAUAUGAAGCGCUGUCGGGAAUAGACAUUUUACAGGGAUGAUAACCUUUUUAAUUCAGSAAGUUUCUGUCAAGAGGUUUGACUUGAAGGUCAAUUCCACUCCAAAACGAUCAUUUUUGGGCGUUUGUUUCAUUAGUCCACUGUUACAGUCCCCAAAAUUAUUUUUGCAGUGCAGCAAUCAGAGUUUUCAAGAUGUAGAACUUUGAAAACGCUAAUUGUCACUUGCCACAYCAUCAAUAUAUUUAUACUGUAGGCCUACUGUAUAAUUACACUGAAAUAUUUAKUAUUUAUGGUUAUUUGUCACAUGCUUCAUAAAUAACAGGGGUAGAUUAAAGUAAGCAUUUCACUGUUAGUCCAUACCUGUUGUUUACAAAGCAUGUGACAAAUAACUUUUAGAUUUGAAUCCUACAGCCAUCUGGUUACAGGUUCUCUCCUCUGUAUGUUCACGGUUGGGCAUAAUGUCAACAUGGUGAUGUACUUUMGAUGUGACCAGCAGAGCAAUGCCAGUGUCAGUCAGCAACGUCUUUAUUGGUGGCACGGCACACUUUAAUACACACCAUAUCUAUCUUUAGUCUUGCCUUAUAAACUUUUCAAAGAACAGUCACCGACCAACAUACAAUUCACUUGAUGCUUGUACAUGUAAAUAAAGUAGCCGUAUACUGUA